UUAGCUGAGUUGGUAGAGCGCUCCACUGGAAAUGGAGAGGUCCCGGGUUCGAUAGCCGGA
rnacentral:tRNA from 1 species